UGAACGCUAGCGGGAGGCUUAACACAUGCAAGUCGAGGGGCAGCAUUCACUUCGGUGAGAUGGCGACCGGCGCACGGGUGCGUAACGCGUAUGCAACCUACCUUAUACAGAGGGAUAGCCCAUGGAAACGUGGAUUAAUACCUCAUAGUACUAUAAAGCUACAUAGUUUAAUAGUUAAAACUUCGGUGGUAUAAGAUGGGCAUGCGUAUGAUUAGCUAGAUGGUGAGGUAACGGCUCACCAUGGCGACGAUCAUUAGGGGUUCUGAGAGGAUUAUCCCCCACACUGGUACUGAGACACGGACCAGACUCCUACGGGAGGCAGCAGUGAGGAAUAUUGGUCAAUGGGCGAGAGCCUGAACCAGCCAUCCCGCGUGCAGGAUGACGGCCCUAUGGGUUGUAAACUGCUUUUCUACGCCAAGAAACCCUACUACGUGUAGUAGGUUGACGGUAGCGUAGGAAUAAGGACCGGCUAACUCC
rnacentral:rRNA from 1 species